rnacentral:lncRNA from 1 species
AUACAUUAUAAAGUCUUAGGAACUGACAUUUUAGAUUGAUUUUUAAUAUUUUGAUUAUAAAAUACAUCUCUACUUGUGGAAAGACCUUCAAUUGUUCUUUGAACAAUUGGUUUUUAAUUAUUAUUAUUAUUUUUUUUUUUUCUUCCGCCAACUUUUUUUUCCUUCACUGUUUUUUUGUUUCACAAGAUGUCGCUUAGAUAUAAGGUAAAUGAUAUCGAACAGUUAAUACGCUUCUGAAACUGACACCGCGUAACAAAAAACUUUACCUUGUAAGAGUUAUCUCCCCGAACACUGUUUUUCUUGUGGCCACUACUCCUUCGCAACCGUAUAAGAAACCGACAAAUUUAUUUUUCCAAAUUGCUCGUUAUAUCCUCAGGAUGUUCUGUUUCAUUUUGAACCGAAGCUAUCCGGAGACUCCAUAUGAGAGUUAUCCCCCCUUUUAUAUAUGAUAUCAGUGAUAUGCAUUUCUAACUGGUAAACCAUAAGUGAUAGAGACCUAGGGUCUUUUGAUUUAAGAUCCUUGGUCCAAAAAAAUGAAAAUUAGGUCAAGGUCAAAGGUCAAGGUCAAAAUCUAAAUUUUGAUUUUGGCUUAUUUUCACUCUUUUUCAAUAACCUUAUAAGAUAUCA